UGCCAGCCGCCGCGGUAAUACGGAGGGUGCAAGCGUUGCUCGGAAUCACUGGGCGUAAAGCGUACGCAGGCGGCACGUCAAGUCGGGUGUGAAAGCCCGGGGCUCAACCCCGGAACUGCAUUCGAAACUGGCGCGCUUGAAUACGGGAGAGGGAAGCGGAAUUCCUGGUGUAGAGGUGAAAUUCGUAGAUAUCAGGAGGAACACCUGUGGCGAAAGCGGCUUCCUGGCCCGAUAUUGACGCUCAUGUACGAAAGCGUGGGGAGCAAACAGGAUUAGAUA
rnacentral:rRNA from 1 species